rnacentral:rRNA from 1 species
GACGGAGGAUGCAAGCGUUAUCCGGAAUGAUUGGGCGUAAAGCGUCUGCAGGUGGCAGUUCAAGUCUGCUGUCAAAGACCGGGGCUUAACUUCGGAAAGGCAGUGGAAACUGAACAGCUAGAGUAUGGUAGGGGCAGAGGGAAUUCCUGGUGUAGCGGUGAAAUGCGCAGAUAUCAGGAGGAACACCGGUGGCGAAGGCGGGUCUCUGGACAGUUCCUGACACUGAGACACGAAGGCCAGGGGAGCAAACGGG